rnacentral:rRNA from 1 species
UACGUAGGGGGCAAGCGUUGUCCGGAAUUAUUGGGCGUAAAGAGCGCGUAGGCGGUCCGGUAAGUCGGUUGUGAAAGUCGGGGGCUCAACCCUCGGAUGCCGAUCGAUACUGCCGGGCUAGAGUCCGGAAGAGGCGAGUGGAAUUCCUGGUGUAGCGGUGAAAUGCGCAGAUAUCAGGAGGAACACCAAUGGCGAAGGCAGCUCGCUGGGACGUGACUGACGCUGAGACGCGAAAGCGUGGGGAGCAAACAGG